rnacentral:ribozyme from 14 species
AAGAUCGUACCAGUAGGAAAAGAUUUGUACACUAAAACAAAAUCAGAAAUAUUAAUUUGUAGAAAUAUAUUGAUACGUAAUAUUUUUAUAUGCUUUUAAAGGUUUAAUGUCUUUCUUCUU